UAAAUAAAUGUUAUAUAUUUCUUCGAUCGGAGUAAUUAGGGUUUAAAAGAUUAAACUCAACACCUACCGCUUCUUGUUGUGGCCGCCAAAUAUCUUACAUUCAAUCGAUAAUAGUCUCUUUUAGCUAACAUCGGGAAAACACGCUGUACGGGAGCAAGACGUAAGCUGAGGACCCACCGCCGAAGGCAGCGGUGGGCCAACAAGGAUUAUAAGAAAUCGAACCUUGAAAAUGAGUGGAAGAAACCAUUUGCUGGUUCUUCCAUGCCAAAGGCAUUGCCCUUGAGAAGAUAGGUAUCGAGGCUAAGUAGCCGAACUUCACUAUCAGAAAGUGUGCUAGAGUUCAAUUGAUCAAGAACGGAAAAAAUAUUGCAGCUUUCGUUCCGAAUGAUGGUUUCUUAAACUACAUCGAAGAAAAUGUUAGUACUCGAUCGAAUUUGUGCAACCAUAAUUAUGUAGCCAUAUUAAGUCUAACGAUAAUGUAUUAUAGUAGGAUGAGGUAUUGAUUGUCGGAUUUGGACGAAAGGUCACACUGUCGGUGAUAUUCCCGGUGUUAGAUUCACGGUCGUGAAAGUCUCCGGUGUUUCACUCUUAGCACUCUUUAAAGAGGAGAAGGAAAAGCCGAGAUUGUGAGUUUGCAAUGUGACUUUUCGUAGUUUCAUAAAACUGAGAGCAUUUUAUUGUUCAGACUUCGUUUAGUCCAUCUUUGGGUUAUCGUAUCGAAUUCAUGUCAUCUUAGGGUGAGUUUGAA